rnacentral:misc_RNA from 1 species
GAAAUAUUGGGUUUCUACAUAAAGCUCUUUUACGUUGUCAGAGAAAAUUUUAAGGAUUUGAACCAACAUAUUUCAAAAUCAUAAAUGCAAAUUCUUUCUCCAUUCUAUUUUUGCUGACAAGUGAUAAAAGAAUUUUGGGAAGCAGGGAAUCCUCUUUUAAAUGGGACAUAAAACAUAAAUGAAGGAGAAAAAUGAGAUGCUCAUUUUUAAUACAGCAUAUGCCAAUUGGUUUCAAAAGAAAAGAGACACCAAUGCCACACAUGAAACAAAUACCAGAACAGGCAUUAACAUGCCAUCAAAAUGAAUCUAUCAAUGACUAAUUUUAUUUUAUUGGACAAAAAACUGAAAGCAGCACCAUAACCUCAGAACCAUAUGACAUAACUGAAUCUAAAGGCAAUGAGUUUGGUUAGAUGCAGGACAGACUCACCAAGUGAAUUCCAUCAGUUGC